AGUGCAGACAGGGGGCAGCACCAACAGAAACCAUUCUUGAGGCUUUCUGGAGAAUGGAAGUCCCAGAUGGAUGUGUCAGCAGACUGCGUUCCCCAAAGCCUCUGUCUGGCGAUUACAUCACUUUAUACCACACACACUGGGCUCCAGUGUCUCUAGUCAUGGGAUUCAAGCUCCUCAUUAGCAUACCCUCACACUCUUAGGUUUGCCGGGAGUAAGCACUUCAACAUAAUGAAUUGUAUGGGGGCACAGUUUAAACCAUAAAGCUCUUUUAGAGAACACCUGCCACAUAGAAGUCUGAUUGCCGGGUGGAGGAGUUUCCCUGGUGGAUGAGAAAUUAGAAAAAGGGAAGAAAAAGCCCUGCUCCCCACCUGCUGUUCCAGCCACCCCAGCCUAAGCAGCACAUGAAGAAUGAAGCAAGUGGUUUGUUAACAUAGCAAAAGACAGCACAGUACUACCAAAAAAAGAAGAAGCAGCAGCAGCAUAAUUUCCAACUUUUGGUGCUAUCUCCUGAGAUUUGGCAGAGCAGGACAGCUGAAGAAUAGCCCAGCUGAGCUGAGAACCGUGCUUCUGGGAGCCUCUCACAUAAGCAGCUUUUACCCUGACUAAACUUCUCCAUUCAGCACGGUUGCUUGGGAGGAAUUAUCUAUCUCUGCAACAGUCCACUGGUGUGAAAUCCAGCAGUUCACUGGUGUAAGGUUAAAUGCUGCCUUCUUGUAUCCUUUUGGUUUGCUUUGAUUUGGGAAAUUUUCCAAACAAAAUGAGGGGAGGGAUGAAAAGCUCAUUUAUAGGAGUUAUGCCUGUCUGCAACUGUGGGCAUUAAGAGUGCAGCCUGUUUCCUGAGAUGUGUUGUAUGUCUUAUGCACUCUGUGGAGAAUGCUUGCCAUCAGCUGAGUGUCCAGCGGUGACAGGAAAAUGUUCUCAGGUGGCACAGUUCAAGUGGGCUGUGUGCUCUAUUCAGUGGUCCACCGAGUGCUCUGCCACUCGUUCUGCACAGUACUCAGGCCCAGGGGAAGAGCAGGCCUGGGAGCCACCAGCUACUCCUUCAAGUUGUGCAGGGAGAGGCUGAAACUGGAAAUGGAUUACACUUUGGGGGCAAGGCAAGCCUCUUCCGAGAACACCAAGCCAAGAGGAAAUCCAAGCAAUGGCUGCUAGACAAAGGGGUGUCAUGGGACAUUAACAGGUCAAACGUAUAAAUAAGUGCACUGUGGUGGUGGAUCAGUUCUUUUCUCCCAUCCAGAGAGAGGGCUCCAUCUGACUGUCUCUUACCUGUAUUUCACCAUCCUCCACCCAACCCCAGAACUUUGAGAGCUGUGCUAGACACAAGGAAGCAGUGCCCAGGACUAACAUUUUCCCAAAUGAGGAAUUUUAACAUUUUCAUCUUUUAAUCAGAGGGACUUAAAAUGGGAAAACCCAAAACUUGCAUUUGAAAUUGAUCAACUAAGUAUUAAAGAAAUUAAAUUUCUAAAUAGUGUGUUUGUUUAAAAGUUUGUAGCUUUUAUACUCAUGUAGUUUGUAAAACUUAAAACUACAGUAAGACUUUAGGAAUUGCCCAUAAAAUUUCAUGUGCUUCCCAUGGUAUAAUUAACGAAAAGUUCAUUGUGCAUACAUAAAUUGAGUACUGUCUAGACAUACAUUUGAACCAAUACUUAUUUAUGUUGCUGUUCUGGGCUAUUUAAUGGUGACAAUUUCCGUGUGAAGGCCAUGUCACAUAAGGAAAUGCAAAGUAAGUGUCUUGGGUACUUUUCUCUCAUUGCUGGGACAAAAUAUCCAACACCCAAAACGAAGGAAGGAGAGGUUUGUUUAGUUUACUGUUUGUGGAGGUUUCAGCCCAUAAUCAGCUGGCUCCAAGGCUGGAUGGCAUGGCACCAGGGCAACACUUCCCGGCAGCAGCCAACAAAAGCAGCCAGAGCAACAGAGGAGGGGAGGAAGCCACUUUUCCUCCCCUAUAGUGUGAGCAGGCUAUGCCCCUUGUAUCAUUUGCAAGUCUUCCUCUGUACCGACUGAGGAUGUCACAAAGUAAUGACCCUGGCCAACUGCUGAGUCGCUUCAUUAAAUUUCUGACUAUCUCAAAUUGACACAAUGAACAGCAUCCUAGAGUGAUAAUGGCUUGUCCUGUACAUCCCAGGAUGUAGGACUACUAAGUCACUUGCUUAAGCUUCUGGACUUUUCAAGUUGAUGCGGUGUAUCAACCGUAACAGUAAGACAUUGGAUCAGGGCAGAGAAGCCAUGGUUGGAAAGAGGGGCAAUUCUGGGAUCACCAUAUGCCGGUUCGGGUACAUAUUUGUGUCAUCUGUUUAGAAAUUGAGUUUCAUUUGGGUCAUGGGGCUGCAGCUUGCUGACAUGUUGUAAGCACAUAUUCCAUGUUGGGGUGGUGACCAAUGAAUGUGUAGGGAUUGACCCUGUGGGCCUAGCGGCCAGGGAUGAGAGAACUCUUACCCUUUCUAUACCCAGUCACUGUGCCCCAAGCCUAGUAUCCCCACAGAUCCCAGUGGUGGUGUCCCUGUGCGCUGAAGGGAAUGGCCAUAGGCCUCCUCUGUGUCUGGGUGGGUAUCAUGUAGGUAACUACAAGAAAACAACUUUCAGGAUACCCUUACAGUCCAAGAUGGGCUGGUCCCUGGGUUGCCAGUCUCCACAGCAUUGGCCAUUUCUUGCUGAAUGACACUGUUGUCAGACAGUUCCUUUAUUUAUGGCUCACUAAUUAAGCAUAUGCCAAAUCCUUGAGCAAAGAAUUGAAGGAGACAAGCCAAAACAGGGCCGAAGUUUGUUUGAAAAUUGAGAGGUGAAAGGGUGAGAGAGAAACUGGUUCUGCAGUUGGGCUAAACAAGAGGAGAGAGAAAAAAUAAAAGCACACCCUAAUCUACAAGACACACAUUGGGCUACUGAGAAGAGUAAGAAUAACAGGCCCUGCUUGGGUUUAUUCAAAGUCAACAUAAUUGAAGAUAUGGGUGACUGCAUAUAUGUUUAAGUGUAGAGGAUUGAUAACCAUAUUUCUAAGUUUUUGUUGGAUAGUUGAACAGAACUGGUUGCAGUCUCACUGUUUGAAUCCCCACUUUAUAUGCUCCACUUUAGUAUCUUGUAAGAAGACAAUCUGUAAUCAUCAACUAGUGAUUUCUUACUGUUUAUUUUUUCUUUGAAAUUAUGUAUUAUUUCUACCCGUUUUCUGUUUUUUUUAAGUCUUUCUGUAAAUUCAGUUUUAAAAAGAAGACACUACCGUACCCAGUGCUGAUCAUGGAGUGUCAUGAUGUGAAACCCAGCAAUACUAUUAUUCUUUGUUCAGAAUGAUUUUAAACCGCUUUAGUUUGUUUAAUCUAAACAUAAAGAUAUGGAUAACUGCAUGUAUGUUUAAAUGUAUAGGAUUGACAAUCAUGUUACUUAGUUUUUGUUGGACAGUUGAUUAGAACUUUUUACAGUCUCUCUGUUUGAAUUCCCACUUUACAUGUUCCAUUUUUGUACCUUGGAAACUAUUUGUAAAACAACAUCAACUAGUGAUUUCUUACUGUUUUUUUUUUUCUCUGAACGUAUGUACUAUUUCUACUUAUUUUCUGUUUUGUUUAAUCUUUCUUUAAAUAAAAAUUAAAAAAAAAAGAAUAGUAGGCCCUGGGUGGCAUCCCUUUUAUGUCAUCUACAUCUCUUGGGAGCCCCCAAAUUUUGUAUGUGGGAUCCAGGGAGUUAUUUGAUGCUGUCCUGGGAUCUUCUAAGUGACUGGUCCUCAGUAUUUCUUAACCAGAUUUGGCACAUUUUAAUCCCCUCUCAGUACCAGCAGCAGUGUGGGACAGGUGGACAUGUGUGCUGCCCCCAGACCAGGACCUCUGAUGGUGUCACUGAGCACGUUUCUGUUCUUGUGACUUUGCAGAAAGUAGGUGCCUGCUGCCCUGCUUGCCUGUGCUGCCUGGCCUGGCUCUCCCUCUCCACCUCUGCUCCAUCCUUCCAGGGCUGCACCCUGUAUACACUUUGCAGUGGAGCUUCCAGGUCAGAAUCUAAGCUUAAAAUCCCGAAGGGGAAAGCAUCAGAAUCUGAACCUUUGUCUCUUUCUUUCUUUCUUCUUUUUUUACCACAGAAAUGAAGAGGAAUUUCUAGUUAUUGCUCCUUCAUGGCUUGGUUGUUUCUCCCCUUGGGGGAGAUUCCCAGAGGCUGGUCCAUGCGUCAUGACAGUGACAUCGGUCCUUCCUGGUGGGCUACUCCCUUCUGGGUCCUGAGCAGAGUGCUGCUUCUGCCUGGCCUCAGAACUGAUGAAUUCGGGGAGGGCCCAUCACUGGUCAUCAGCCGGUGAGGAGUCAUGGUGCAGGAGUCACCUGACUAGGACCAUGGAACUAGUGUAGGACAGAGCUCUAAUUUGAACUUAGACUUUUCAGUCCUGCUUUUAUCUUACAUGUUCAGAAAUUUCACACCUGUCAGUUUUGUUUUUUAGCCAAAUUUUUGCAAACUGGGUAUUCUCAUUAGGCAUAUGACACAAAAUUGUACUCUUUUCCUGAAGUUACCAACAAGAAUAAAUGUUUUUUCUUAUGUUUACAACUUAGAUUAACUUUUUAAGGGAAAAAAUGUUUUUGCCUCUUUGUGUAUUACACUUUUAGUGUGUUCUCAAAACACAAUAAAGAAUGUCUGGGAAAUAGAAACUAA